rnacentral:rRNA from 1 species
UACGGAGGAUGCAAGUGUUAUCCGGAAUCACUGGGCGUAAAGCGUCUGUAGGUGGUUCAAAAGUCCACUGUUAAAGAUUGAAGCUUAACUUCAAAAAUGCCGUGGAAACUUUGAAACUUGAGUAUGAUAGGGGUAGAGGGAAUUUCCAGUGGAGCGGUGAAAUGCGUAGAUAUUGGAAAGACCACCAAUGGCGAAGGCACUCUACUGGGCCAUUACUGACACUGAGAGACGAAAGCUAGGGGAGCAAAUGGGA